rnacentral:rRNA from 1 species
GUUAANGGCGCAGCCUNGAUCCAGCAAUGCCGCGUGCAGGAAGAAGGCCUUCGGGUUGUAAACUGCUUUUGNACGGAGCGAAAAGGCUCUCUCUAAUACAGGGGGCUCAUGACGGUACCGUAAGAAUAAGCACCGGCUAACUACGUGCCAGCAGCCGCGGUAAUACGUAGGGUGCGAGCGUUAAUCGGAAUUACUGGGCGUAAAGCGUGCGCAGGCGGAUUGUUAAGCAAGACGUGAAAUCCCCGGGCUUAACCUGGGAAUGGCGUUUUGAACUGGCAGUCUGGAGUGUGUCAGAGGGGGGUAGAAUUCCACGUGUAGCAGUGAAAUGCGUAGAGAUGUGGAGGAAUACCAAUGGCGAAGGCAGCCCCCUGGGAUAACACUGACGCUCAUGUACGAAAGCGUGGGUAGCAAACAGGAUUAGAUACCCUGGUAGUCCACGCCCUAAACGAUGUCAACUGGUUGUUGGGGGAGUGAAAUCCCUUAGUAACGAAGCUAACGCGUGAAGUUGACCGCCUGGGGAGUACGGUCGCAAGAUUAAAACUCAAAGGAAUUGACGGGGACCCGCACAAGCGGUGGAUGAUGUGGAUUAAUUCGAUGCAACGCGAAAAACCUUACCUACCCUUGACAUGUCCAGAAUCCUGCAGAGAUGCGGGAGUGCCCGAAAGGGAAUUGGAACACAGGUGCUGCAUGGCUGUCGUCAGCUCGUGUCGUGAGAUGUUGGGUUAAGUCCCGCAACGAGCGCAACCCUCGUCCUUAGUUGCUAGCGGUUCGGCCGAGCACUCUAAGGAGACUGCCUUCGUAAGGAGGAGGAAGGUGAGGACGACGUCAAGUCAUCAUGGCCCUUACGGCCAGGGCUACC